rnacentral:rRNA from 1 species
GACGGACGGUGCAAGCGUUGUUCGGAUUUACUGGGCGUAAAGGGUGUGUAGGCGGUCCUCUAAGUUUGGUGUGAAAUCUCCCGGCUCAACCGGGAGGGUGCGCCGAAAACUGGAGGGCUAGAGUGCGGGAAGGGAGAGUAGAAUUCCUGGUGUAGCGGUGAAAUGCGUAGAUAUCAGGAGGAAUACCGGUGGUGCAGACGGCUCUCUGGACCGCGACUGACGCUGAGACACGAAAGCGUGGGUAGCAAACAGG